AAACAAGUGAUGGUCACAUGUCUGCUAUGCUUUUGGGUGGCCAGGGACCUGAAGAAAAUCGGCGAGCUUAUAUGGUUUUAGUAGACGGAAAAGAUGGUACUCGGAGAAGCUCGUGAAAUGACAGUGGGGUAAAGAAGACCGUGUUUCUGAGUGGAACAAUUACAAGUGGAACAAUUACAUAGACUCUCUCGGAGGAGUUAUAUGGAAAACUUCUCACUCAAAUUUUGGAGGUUUCGGGUGAGCUGAAUCCAUCCAACUAAACAAUCUGAUGCAAAAGAAUCCAGAAAGCAUACAGAAAUCUAUUACAUAAGAAGGCAAUCAAAGUACAAGGAGAAUGCUGUAUUCUUUAUUUGGGAACCUUCUUCAUCUUCCUC